UGGGGAAUAUUGGACAAUGGGCGAAAGCCUGAUCCAGCCAUGCCGCGUGUGUGAAGAAGGUCUUCGGAUUGUAAAGCACUUUAAGUUGGGAGGAAGGGCAUUAACCUAAUACGUUAGUGUUUUGACGUUACCGACAGAAUAAGCACCGGCUAACUUCGUGCCAGCAGCCGCGGUAAUACGAAGGGUGCAAGCGUUAAUCGGAAUUACUGGGCGUAAAGCGCCGUNGGUGGUUCGUUAAGUUGGAUGUNAAAAGCCCCCGGGCUCAACCCUGGGGAAACUGCAUCCAAAAACUGGCGAGCUAGAGUACGGUAGAGGGUGGUGGAAUUUCCUGUGUAGCGGUGAAAUGCGUAGAUAUAGGAAGGAACACCAGUGGCGAAGGCGACCACCUGGACUGAUACUGACACUGAGGUGCGAAAGCGUGGGGAGCAAAACAGGAUUAGAUACCCUGGUAGUCCACGCCGUAAACGAUGUCAACUAGCCGUUGGGUUCCUUGAGAACUUAGUGGCGCAGCUGACGCAUUAAGUUGACCGCCUGGGGAGUACGGCCGCAAGGUUAAAACUCAAAUGAAUUGACGGGGUCAUAGCUGUUUCCUG
rnacentral:rRNA from 1 species